UACGUAGGUGGCAAGCGUUGUCCGGAUUUAUUGGGGUUUAAAGGGUGCGUAGGUGGCUAUCUAAGUCAGUGGUGAAAUAUCUCAGCUUAACUGAGAGGGUGCCAUUGAUACUGGAUAGCUUGAGUACAGAUGAGGUAGGCGGAAUUGACGGUGUAGCGGUGAAAAUGCAUAGAUAUCGUCAAGAACACCGAUAGCGAAAGGCAGCUUACCAAGCUGUAACUGACACUGAGGCACGAAAGUGUGGGGAUCAAACAGG
rnacentral:rRNA from 1 species